GGCUGAGUGGAGGUCCCUCUUGGCUUGGAUGAGAGAUGGGUGAGUGAGUAAAAGGGGUGGAGAGACAGUGGCAGAAUUGAUGGCUCGGAAAGACCCCUUGCGAUGAAUAAAUAAAGCGUCUCCAGCUUGGCUGGUGUUGCAACAUUUCAGAACCAUAAAUGCUCAUGACUGCAUCAAAAGAAAGUUACAAGGAGAAACUAAUAAUUAUUGUUGAGAAAAAACAGUUCUAUCAGAGAAUGCAAAAAGACACCGGAAUAAAGGAUUCUUCAGAUCAAGCUUACAUCCUUUCCAGCUUCAACUGAGGUCCAUGAGACAUUCUUCCACUUGAGUGUGUAUAACGUUACAACUUCUGCUUUCUGCUAUCGAAAGAACACGAGUUGGAGGAAGACAACUGUUCGCGUUUUUUAAAUAUGCAUUUCUGGUGUCGGGAAGGCGAAGACCUGCUCUAAGAGCAGAGAUUGAAUCCUUCAAUCCUUCCAGGUUUUGUGGACUGCAAAAAGUUCUCGUCCUUGUCUAUUGCUUGCUGGGGCUGCUGGGAGAUUUAGUCCAACAACAUCUAGAAAGACCCCUCCUCUCAACCCAGCCUCCUCCCAAAGGUGUUGUUUCAUUUACACAGAUACCCGUGAAGGCAAGCCAAAGGAAUGGAAGGGAAAAAAGCGUCUGUAUGCUCGUCUUUUAGAGGAUCUUUUAUUUUCUUUCUCGAAAUUCACGCAAACCCACCAGCCUUUUAAAGAAGGAAAUUACUCUGCUUCUUCCAAAACAGCAUCAAUCCUAAAUCAUCAACUCGUUGAAAUAAAAACUACCGCCUCAUCAAGAAUGUGAAAGUUUCUGGUUUCCCUUGAGUUAUGAGCAUUGAACUUUAUUUCCUUUCAUUAGGAUUAUUAAAUUAGGCCGGGCUGAUAAAGUCAGUGGGAUAAAUGUUGAUGUAUUGUCAGGUAUUAGUUUGUGGAUCUGCUCCUCCAACUUCUAACUUAUGAAUUUCUCUUUGCCUGUUGGGUUAUCUAGCAAUUUUAGGGGUUUUGCAUGUGAUGUGGGAAAUGGGAGUAUAUUUCCUGGGGACAUACAGGAAGUGACAUAUGCCUUUAGAAUUUGGGGCAUAAAAUGGAAGACUUUCUUUUGUUUUCUCUCUUUGCUCCUCUUCUUGAUCCUGCCAUGCCUGGUGUUACUUCUUGUUAAGAGAUAUCUAGUAUCCUGAACUGUAUUCUUUUGCAACUAAGAUGUUUUUACCUGUAUAACCAUCAUCGUACAAGAUUGUGAGUAAACAUAUUUUUACUAUUUUA